rnacentral:lncRNA from 1 species
GUCUAGACUUCACAUUGUCCCAUGGUUCGAGAUCCUUGGUUCAUCCCAAGUCUUAUCAUCAUCCCAGAAGGUUGGAGGGAGCUCCUGGGGAAAUCCAGCUUCACGGUCCCACACUGAUCACUUCCCCUGGGCAUGGCCUGGUAAAUGCAGCUCAGAUCCGCUCCCCAGGCAAGUCAAGGAAGUUGCUGCCCAGAAACCAAGUGAGGACAUUUACAAGAACCGGCAGCGGCGGCAGCAGCAGCAGCAGCAGCAGCAGCAGCAGCAGCAACUGGAUUUGCUUUUUCACCAGAGGAUCCAGAUUUCCCUGUGGCCUCGCAAACAAAAAAGAAGGAAGACGGAGCAGCACAGUCAUCCCUUUGUGAAAAAGGCAUUCAGGAUCUGCAGAGGUGCAAGGCAGGGUGCACCUCUGCCUGGACUGAGCUGGAAAUGCAGCCGUGUGGCUGAAGUGGCCACUUCCUGCUUUCUGUAAAGCAGCCACGGGGACCUGUGAACAGAUGCACACCUGUCCUGAAGACACCCGGUUCUCAUGCUCUUCUCUGCAGCACCUGAAUUGGGCAUUCCUGGAGACGGGGUUUCACCGUGUUAGCCAGGAUGGUCUCGAUCUCCUGACCUCGCGAUCCGCCCGCCUCGGCCUCCCAAAGUGCUGGGAUUACAGGCGUGAGCCACCGCGCCCGGCCUUAGCUGGUUUUUCAAAAGUCAUGGCGUGUAAUUGUCCGAACAGUGAACUUCGGAGAUCCACCGGAGGGGCGAGGCCACAGCUCGACCGCGAGCACCUGAGCAUCCUGCACCGCCUGCGACGGCCGUCAGGGGGCGCGAUGCCGCCUCACAGAACCUCAAGCGGCGCCCGGGUUCCGGCACAGACGGCCUGCGGCUCCAGGGGGCGGAGCCGAGCCGUCUCCUCAGGACCUACGCAGGAGGCGCCGUCAUCCCUACAGGGACACCUGAGAGGGCCCAGCCUCCUCCUCCUCAGGACCCACUCGGGAGACGCCGCUGGCUCUCUAGGAACACCUGGGGACCGUGGCCAGGGACGACCCAGCCUCCUUCUCCUCAGCUCCUCAGGAACGACUGGGGAAGCUGUGGCUUCAUGGUCCCCGAGGCUGCCCGAGGAAAGGUAUUUCAGGACAGCCAGGAGGGGGCGCACAUCCGCCGCGAAACUGUGAGCAAGAGCGUCUGUGCUGAACCAUGGCGCCACCAGAGGGCGCGCGAUCCCGCCCCAACCAACUUCCCGCUGAAGUGCCAGAAGCAGCGAGGAGCUUCAACUUCCUCAGGGCAGCACGGGGGUCGUGUUAAUUUGGUGUUCUUCAUUGAUGAUGAUUAUUCCCCACCUUCUAAGAGACAAAGACCAACGAGCCACCACAGCCACCAGUCCCAGAACCUGCCAAUGCUGGGGAACGGAAAAUGAGGGAGUUCAACUCUGGCCCUCACAAUCCAGUGGAGGAGACGAAACUCAUCUGCCUCUGUCCCUCUGGGCACGCCUCAUGCCAGGUGCAUCUGUGGACAGGGGCCAUGCUCCUGGGCUUCCAAAGUUGGAGAAAGCUGCCAGGCUCAGGUCUGAAGGCCAGAAUUCUACAGUAAGUCCUACUGAGUCAAGGUGGGAGCAGGGUCGGUAGCUUCCGAGGCUCUGCGGGAGAAUCCGUUUCCUGGCCGUAGAGGUGGCCUGCACUCCGCAGCUUGUGCUGCCCGUCUCGAAUGACUGGAGUUUCCUGCUUCUGUCACUACACCUCCCACCCUCUCCAUCACCUGCUCUGCUCUUACAAGGAUCCGAAGAAAUGGAAUCAUCGUAUCGCUGAUCUACGUAAACAAACUGAAGAAUUGUCUGAAAGAAAAUAUGACAUGAACUUAUGAAUUCAACAGGUGAAGAUUUACAACUUGAUAAAUCAACUUUGUCAGCUCGAGCUGUAAAAGCCAAAGGUCCGGUGAUGAUCCCAUACCCUUUUUUCCAGUCUCAUGUUGAAGAUUUUUAUGUAGAAGGCCUUCCCAAAGGAAUUUUUUUUUUUUUUUUUUUUUUGAGAUGGAGUUUUCACUCUUAUCGCCCAGGCUGGGGUGCAAUGGCGCAACCUUGCUGGUCACUGCAACCUCUGCCUCCUGGGUUCAAGAAAUUCUCCUGCCUUAGCCUCCCAAGUCACUGGGAUUACAGGUGCCCACCACCAUACCAGGCUAAUUUUUGUAUUUUUAGUGGAGAUGCGGUUUCACCAUGUUGGCCGGGCCAGUCUCGAACUCCUGACGUCAAGUGAUCUUCCCGCCUCGACUCCUGAUAUCAAGUGAUCUUCCCGCCUCGGCCUCCCAGAGUGCUGAGAUUACAGACGUGAACCCAUGCCUGGCCAGGAAUUUUGUUUUUUAGGAAGGCUUUCUACUAAUGGAAUUCCUGGCCUUGAGAGGAUGUUACUUUAGAAGGAAAGGAUUUUUUUGUUAUUAAAAGAGCCACCUAAGCUGAAGAUUCCCUUGAGAACAAGUACUGUCCCUAGUUUCCCAGUGCUGGAAUAUAGAAAAUGGAUGGACAACUGGACCUACCAUGAAAGACUUCUGAAUCCAGGAAGAGAAACUGACUGGGCAACAUGUUAUUCAGAUGGGGUCUUCUUAUGUUGCCCAGGUUGGUCUCAAAUUCCUAGGCUCAAGUGAUUCCGCCCACCUCUGCCUCCCAAAGUGCUGGGAUUACGGGCAUGAGCCAGUGCAUCUGGCCACCUUAUUUUCUAUUACUGGCUCAAUGUAAUGGCUCCAUCUCAGGAACAGCCAAUGAAAGAGAUGCACAGGACAAGAGAUGGGACCUCAGUAUGUUGCCAUGGCUGACCUUGAACUCCUGCACUCAAGGGAUUUUCCUACCCUGGCCUCCCAAAGUAUUGGUAUUACAGGCAUGAGCCAUUGUGCCCACCGUCUCUGGUUCUUAACCUUCUGCCUCCCUCUUCCAGUUUUAAAGAAUGCUUGUAAUUACAUGGGCUCUCCUAGAUACUCCAGGAUAAUCUUGUUUUAAGGUCAGCUGAUGAGCAACAUUAAUUUUAUCUGCACUCUUAAUUCCCCCUUCCUCUGUAACUGUGCUGUGUAACAUAGGACAUGAGCAAUUGGUGGCGGUGGGGGUUAUUACUUUGGCCACCACAGUAACUAUUUUAUGCCAGGUACUCAGCUAAGCACUGGUGAAUUAAGCAUGAAUAACACACACUCCCUAAUCUCCAUCCAUUCAUGGGAGGAGCACUUCACCUGCCAUGCUCCUGAGAAUCUCGGGAGUCAUAGAAGUCUUCUAUGAGGAGGUGAUGCCAAAGCGGACAAGUGACAGAGGAGUCAAAGCUAGCUAGGAAGAGAGUAGAGGUUUAAGGGGAAGCAUAUUAUAAGCAGAGGAUAUUACCCACUUCAGAGACUCCCAGAGGAGAAAGAGUGUGCGUUCAAGGGGCAGAUGAGGCUCAGUUGGACUCCAUAGCAGAUGAAAUGGAGAGGGGCAAGCAGUGAGGCUGCCUUGCAAGGCAGGGCAGAGCAGGGGCUGUUAAGGAGUUUGGACUUAAUCCCUGAGGCAAGGAGAAGUGAUGUAAAUGGGGGAGUAACAUGAUGAGAUUCAUAGAUUAGAGACAUGGCUCAGGCUGCUGUAGAGAAGGCACCGGGAAGAGCAGAUGGCUCAAUGUGUGUGCAGAAGACCUCUCCCUGAGUUUAGGGAGAGGUUUUUAAAACAGAAGAAGUUUGAGUAAUUUAAAUGAUGAUGGGAAG